rnacentral:rRNA from 1 species
AUACGUAGGGGGCAAGCGUUGUCCGGAAUUAUUGGGCGUAAAGCGCGCGCAGGCGGUUCUUUAAGUCUUGUGUUUAAUCCCGGGGCUCAACCUCGGUACGCAUGGGAAACUGGGGGACUAGAGUGCAGGAGAGGGAAGUGGAAUUCCACGUGUAGCGGUGAAAUGCGUAGAGAUGUGGAGGAACACCAGUGGCGAAGGCGACUUUCUGGCCUGUAACUGACGCUGAGGCGCGAAAGCGUGGGGAGCAAACAGGAUUAGAUACCCUGGUAGUCCACGCCGUAAACGAUGAGUGCUAGGUGUCGGGGGUUUCGAUACCCUCGGUGCCGAAGUCAACACAGUAAGCACUCCGCCUGGGGAGUACGCUCGCAAGAGUGAA